rnacentral:rRNA from 1 species
AAAACAGGAACGAACGCUGGCGGCAUGCCUAACACAUGCAAGUCGAACGGUGGCUUCGGCCAUAGUGGCGCACGGGUGAGUAACGCGUGGGAAACUGCCCAUCAGUGGGGAAUAACAGAGGGAAACUUCUGCUAAUACCGCAUACGCCCUUCGGGGGAAAGAUUUAUCGCUGAUGGAUGUGCCCGCGUCCGAUUAGGUAGUUGGUGGGGUAAAGGCCUACCAAGCCUACGAUCGGUAGCUGGUCUGAGAGGAUGAUCAGCCACACUGGGACUGAGACACGGCCCAG